rnacentral:rRNA from 1 species
GACGAACGCUGGCGGCGUGCUUAACACAUGCAAGUCGAACGGAAAGGCCCUGCUUUUGUGGGGUUCUCGAGUGGCGAACGGGUGAGUAACACGUGAGUAACCUGCCCUUGACUUUGGGAUAACUUCAGGAAACUGGGGCUAAUACCGGAUAGGAUCUCCUGCUGCAUGGUGGGGGUUGGAAAAUUUCGGCUGUUGGGGAUGGACUCGCGGCUUAUCAGCUUGUUGGUGGGGUAGGGGCUUACCAAGGCUUUGACGGGUAGCCGGCCUGAGAGGGUGACCGGCCACAUUGGGACUGAGAUACGGCCCAGACUCCUACGGGAGGCAGCAGUGGGGAAUAUUGCACAAUGGGCGGAAGCCUGAUGCAGAAACGCCGCGUGCGGGAUGACGGCCUUCGGGUUGUAAACCGCUUUCGCCUGUGACGAAGCGUGAGUGACGGUAAUGGGUAAAGAAGCACCGGCUAACUACGUG